rnacentral:rRNA from 1 species
UGCCAGACUUGGAACCGGGAGAGGUAAGAGGUACUACAGGGGUAGAGUGAAAUCUUGUAAUCCCUGUGGGACCACCUGUGGCGAAGGCGUCUUACCAGAACGGGUUCGACGGUGAGGGACGAAAGCUGGGGGCACGAACCGGAUUAGAUACCCGGGUAGUCCCAGCCGUAACGAUGCUCGCUAGGUGUCAGGCAUGGCGCGACCGUGUCUGGUGCCGCAGGGAAGCCGUGAAGCGAGCCACCUGGGAAGUACGGCCGCAAGGCUGAAACUUAAAGGAAUUGGCGGGGGAGCACAACAACGGGUGGAGCCUGCGGUUUAAUUGGACUCAACGCCGGACAACUCACCGGGGGCGACAGCAAUAUGUAGGCCAAGCUGAAGACUUUGCCUGAAUCGCUGAGAAGAGGUGCAUGG